rnacentral:rRNA from 1 species
CCCGAGCGGGCUAUCUGCAGUCGAGCGGAUCUUCAUUAGCUUGCUUUUGAAGAUCAGCGGCGGACGGGUGAGUAACACGUGGGCAACCUGCCUGUAAGACUGGGAUAACUUCGGGAAACCGGAGCUAAUACCGGAUAAUCCUUUCCCUCACAUGAGGGAAAGCUGAAAGACGGUUUCGGCUGUCACUUACAGAUGGGCCCGCGGCGCAUUAGCUAGUUGGUGAGGUAAUGGCUCACCAAGGCAACGAUGCGUAGCCGACCUGAGAGGGUGAUCGGCCACACUGGGACUGAGACACGGCCCAGACUCCUACGGGAGGCAGCAGUAGGGAAUCUUCCGCAAUGGACGAAAGUCUGACGGAGCAACGCCGCGUGAGCGAUGAAGGCCUUCGGGUCGUAAAGCUCUGUUGUCAGGGAAGAACAAGUAUCGGAGUAACUGCCGGUACCUUGACGGUACCUGACCAGAAAGCCACGGCUAACUACGUGCCAGCAGCCGCGGUAAUACGUAGGUGGCAAGCGUUGUCCGGAAUUAUUGGGCGUAAAGCGCGCGCAGGCGGUUCCUUAAGUCUGAUGUGAAAGCCCCCGGCUCAACCGGGGAGGGUCAUUGGAAACUGGGGAACUUGAGUGCAGAAGAGGAGAGCGGAAUUCCACGUGUAGCGGUGAAAUGCGUAGAGAUGUGGAGGAACACCAGUGGCGAAGGCGGCUCUCUGGUCUGUAACUGACGCUGAGGCGCGAAAGCGUGGGGAGCGAACAGGAUUAGAUACCCUGGUAGUCCACGCCGUAAACGAUGAGUGCUAAGUGUUAGAGGGUUUCCGCCCUUUAGUGCUGCAGCAAACGCAUUAAGCACUCCGC